rnacentral:rRNA from 1 species
GGGUGGUAAUGCCGGAUGCUCCGACUCCUCGCAUGGGGUGUCGGGAAAGAUUUCAUCGGUAUGGGAUGGGGUCGCGUCCUAUCAGGUAGUCGGCGGGGUAACGGCCCACCGAGCCUACGACGGGUAGCCGGCCUGAGAGGGCGACCGGCCACAUUGGGACUGAGAUACGGCCCAGACUCCUACGGGAGGCAGCAGUGGGGAAUAUUGCACAAUGGGCGCAAGCCUGAUGCAGCGACGCCGCGUGCGGGAUGACGGCCUUCGGGUUGUAAACCGCUUUUGAUCGGGAGCAAGCCUUCGGGUGAGUGUACCUUUCGAAUAAGCACCGGCUAACUACGUGCCAGCAGCCGCGGUAAUACGUAGGGUGCAAGCGUUAUCCGGAAUUAUUGGGCGUAAAGGGCUCGUAGGCGGUUCGUCGCGUCCGGUGUGAAAGUCCAUCGCUUAACGGUGGAUCUGCGCCGGGUACGGGCGGGCUGGAGUGCGGUAGGGGAGACUGGAAUUCCCGGUGUAACGGUGGAAUGUGUAGAUAUCGGAA